UACAGAGGGUGCAAGCGUUAAUCGGAGUUACUGGGCGUAAAGCGUGCGCAGGCGGUUUUGUAAGCCAGAUGUGAAAGCCCCGGGCUUAACCUGGGAAUGGCAUUUGGGACUGCAAGGCUUGAGUGCGGCAGAGGAGACUGGAAUUCCUGGUGUAGCAGUGAAAUGCGUAGAUAUCAGGAGGAAUACCGAUGGCGAAGGCAGGUCUCUGGGCUGACACUGACGCUCAUGCACGAAAGCGUGGGGAGCAAACAGG
rnacentral:rRNA from 1 species